rnacentral:rRNA from 1 species
CCUACGGGUGGCAGCAGUGAGGAAUAUUGGUCAAUGGGCGGAAGCCUGAACCAGCCAAGUCGCGUGAGGGAUUAAGGCCCUGCGGGUCGUAAACCUCUUUUGCCGGGGAGCAGUGGUCCGGACGCGUCCGGACCGGGAGAGUACCCGGAGAAAACGCAUCGGCUAACUCCGUUCCAGCAGCGGCGGUAAUACGGAGGAUGGGAGCGUUAUCCGGUUUUUUUGGGUUUAAAGGGUGCGUAGGCGGGCAUUCAGUCCGGCGGUCAAAUGUCGGGGCUAAACCGCGGCCUGCCGUCGGAACUGGGUGCCUUGAGUGGGCGAGAAGUAUGCGGAAUGCGUGGUGUAGCGGUGAAAUGCAUAGAUAUCACGCAGAACCCCGAUUGCGAAGGCAGCAUACCGGCGCCCUACUGACGCUGAGGCACGAAAGUGCGGGUAUCGAACAGGAUUAGAUACCCGUGUAGUC